AGGGUUCGAUUAUGGCUCAGGAUGAACGCUGGCGGCGUGCUUAACACAUGCAAGUCGAACGGGAAUUACUUUAUUGAAACUUCGGUCGAUUUAAUUUAAUUCUAGUGGCGGACGGGUGAGUAACGCGUGGGUAACCUGCCUUAUACAGGGGGAUAACAGUCAGAAAUGGCUGCUAAUACCGCAUAAGCGCACAGAGCUGCAUGGCUCAGUGUGAAAAACUCCGGUGGUAUAAGAUGGACCCGCGUUGGAUUAGCUGGUUGGUGGGGUAACGGCCCACCAAGGCGACGAUCCAUAGCCGGCCUGAGAGGGUGAACGGCCACAUUGGGACUGAGACACGGCCCAG
rnacentral:rRNA from 1 species